rnacentral:misc_RNA from 1 species
GAUGAAGAACGUAGUGAAAUGCGAUAAGUAAUGUGAAUUGCAGAAUUCAGUGAAUCAUCGAAUCUUUGAACGCACAUUGCGCCCUCUGGUAUUCCGGGGGGCAUGCCUGUUCGAGCGUCAUUAUAACCACUCAAGCUCUCGCUUGGUAUUGGGGUUCGCGGUUUCGCGGCCCCUAAAAUCAGUGGCGGUGCCUGUCGGCUCUACGCGUAGUAAUACUUCUCGCGAUUGAGUUCGAUAGGUCUACUUGCCAGUAACCCCCAAUUUUUACAGGUUGACCUCGGAUCAGGUAGGGAUACCCGCUGAACUUAAGCAUAUCAUAAGCGGAGGA